CACAGUCACACUCACCAACAUUGUUCCCAGAACCAGGAAGGACUUCCUACAAUAUUCCCGUCAGCUCACUCUGGAUCUGAACACAGUGAAUAAACGACUCCGUCUGUCUGAGAACAACAGAGUGAUUACAUUCACUGACACAGAUCAGUCGUAUCCUGAUCAUCCAGACAGAUUUGAUGUGUGGUGUCAGGUGUUGUGUAGAGAGAGUGUGUGUGGACGCUGUUACUGGGAGCUGGAGUGGAGUGGAGAUAGAGAUGUGUUUAUAUCAGUGUCAUAUAAGAACAUCAGCAGGAAGGGACCGGGUAGUGAGUGUUUGUUUGGAUAUAAUGAUCAGUCCUGGAAUUUGAUCUGCUCUCCUGACAGAUACUCAUUCUUACACAAUAACAUAGAGACUGAUCUCUCUGUGAAGUCCGUCAGCAGUAGAAUAGGAGUGUUUGUGGAUCACAGUGCAGGAACUCUGUCCUUCUACAGCGUCUCUGACACAAUGAGCCUCAUCCACACAGUCCAGACCACAUUCACUCAGACGCUCUAUCCUGGGUUUUGGGUUUAUGAAGGAUCAUCAAUGAAACUGUGUUGAUGAAUCAGAAUAGAUAUUAUUAUCAUAAUGGCCUUUCAAUUCAGAAGAUCCCACAGUGAAUAAAUAAUUGUCAUUAUUUAUCUUA